rnacentral:lncRNA from 1 species
GCAACAAUAUCACACACAGCUCCCCACAUAUGAGAGCUUGUUGUUCUUCUUGUUGCCAGGUCUGCGUGUUGGCUGUGGCUCAACUGGCCUUGACCAUUUUAGGACCCAGGCUGCAGAGGCAACACCUGGAGAAUGUUCUUCCCAUCAUGGGAGGCAGCAGCUCAAGAAAGAGAUGCUUCAGUGACCUGGCUAUGGAGAGAUGCCGCCUUGGCAGGGGAGGCUUGAAUUGGUCUUACUCUACUGUUUCAGGGCUUCUGUGCCUUGCACAUAAAAACAGGAAUAGAGUGGUAAGUAAACAACCAGUAAGAACCAUGAUAGAACAAUGGUUUAAAAUAAAAUGCACAGUUAAAGCUAUUGACCCACAGAAGGUUGCAACUGCAUACAGAAAAUUCAUAUAUACAGG